AGCCCCCCGCAUCCUCUCAUUUUCAGGCAGACCGACGGAGAGAAAGAGGCGCGCGCGCACGCGUAUGUUUCUGUUUCUGUUCUGCGGCUGUUCCUCGUUGUGGAGAGACGUGUGACAAAAAAGUUAAGAAGCACUGGGUAAAUAUAGAGAGAUUUUGAGAAAUUGAGAACAAAAAGAUACGAGAAAGAGAGCGCGCCAGCGACCGGGUAGGAGGCGGCCGUUGUUGACGGGGCCCCCGGAAGAGUUAGAGGUGAGAAAAUAGUGGAUGGGAUGAAGAGACGCAGAGAAA
ensembl:ncRNA F42C5.16 ncRNA